rnacentral:misc_RNA from 1 species
GAACGCAUAUUGCGCCCGCCCGUAUUCUGGCGGGCAUGCCUGUUCGAGCGUCAUUUCAACCCUCAAGCCCCCCCGGGGGCUUGGUGUUGGGGACCGGCCCCGCCUCGUCGCGGGUCGCCGCCCCCUAAAUGCAGUGGCGGUCUCGUCGCAGCCUUCGAUGCGUAGUAAAUCAUAACCUCGCACCGGAGCGCGGCUCGGCCACGCCGUUAAACCCCAACUUCUGAAAGGUUGACCUCGGAUCAGGUAGGAAUACCCGCUGAACUUAAG